GACGAACGCUGGCGGCGUGCUUAACACAUGCAAGUCGAGCGGUAAGGCCCUUUCGGGGGUACGACGAGCGGCGAACGGGUGAGUAACACGUGGGUGACCUGCCCUCAGCUCUGGGAUAAGCCCGGGAAACUGGGUCUAAUACCGGAUAUGACUCCACGGUGCAUGUCGUGGGGUGGAAAGCCUUGUGCGGCUGAGGAUGGGCCCGCGGCCUAUCAGCUUGUUGGUGGGGUGAUGGCCACCAAGGCGACGACGGGUAGCCGGCCUGAGAGGGCGACCGGCCACACUGGGACUGAGACACGGCCCAGACUCCUACGGGAGGCAGCAGUGGGGAAUCUUGCGCAAUGGGCGAAAGCCUGACGCAGCGACGCCGCGUGAGGGAUGACGGCCU
rnacentral:rRNA from 1 species